CUGCAUCGGUCUUCCCUCCUCGCUGACUGGCAGGAGAUCCCCUGCUGCAGGAGGGUCGGCAGGAGAGAGACCGUAAGGUGACGACAGGAAGGCGGAACCAGGAGGAGGAGGAAAGCAAUACUGAUUUUUAAUUGGCUGUUUGGGGUUCGGUACACCGUGUACCCAGUAAAUGUUUAUGGGCCUGUUGCAGGCUGAUUGACAUCCUUGCAGGUUUUCUAUUAAUCUCAAUUCGGAGAGAGCCGGUGGAAAUACAUUUGCAUCUUAUUUUUACAUGCUUCAGUUUUGUCUAUGAAAGAAGAAUUGCCAUCUCUGUGUCUGCAGCUGAUGUGUUGAAACGUGGUUAAAAGUUUUCCACAUGUGGGGGAAACGCCCUCUUGCUUUUAUAGCAGGUACGCAGAUACACCUGAAUAGUUCCCGAAUGACUCAGCAGCACUCCUGCAGCCUCGGUGAGCCACCGCUAAACGCAAGAAACAGCUGCUGGGAAGGACAACGCGGUCCAAGUUAUCUCUGCUUUGAGUCUCGAGUGGGGCUUCCGAAAACACUGGCGCCUCAAUCUCCCACAAUGCACCUCCCAGGAGUUGGGUGUAUCUGGCCCAACGUGCUCGCGUGCUUCAAACCUCUCAGCGCCGUCUGCUGCGAUCCCUUUCUCGUCGAUCAGAUGCCAAUGAUUUUAGUGGAAGGUGUGACCGAACUUGACAAAGCCCAGAUGUCCCGGUGACUCUUUUGUGCGACACGAUUGUCAGUCGCUAUAAAAACAAAGCGCGUGCAGCUUAGUCCCAACUGUGAACUCAAACCUGCGUGCUGUUGAAGCUUGUAUCAAAGAUUCAUGGUGAAUUACUUUAUAUAACACUGAUGGCCACUGUAGGAAACAAACGGCACAACAAAAACCGAUAAAAGAAGCUCGUUCUCCUCCGUCGCUGUAAUGUGGAUGCUGCUCAGGUUCCCGGCGGACGGUCCUGAGGUCUGAGGCAUCUGAUUCCUGCUCCAGCUGGGAUUAAAUGGACGCAUCAGGCCGGUUACGUAACGCUGCUCUCUGCCAUGCAGCCUGCUUGGUGGAAGCCGCUGUCACGCAGCAUCGCUCUGUGGGCAUGAUUCCUGUUUUUGCAUGGACUCGAUGGGGCAAUCGUAUAUGAAUCUUCACAAAGGGCUUUUUCCUGUUUUUGGAAGGAGGAGGAGGAGGGUGUGUUUUGGGGAGAGCAACCCACUGAGAGUAAUGCAUGUGGACAGCGUAUGUGUUUUUGAAAGUGGGCGUGUGCUGAAGGCGAGCCCACGGGUCGGGUUGGGUGAGAGCGGAGCCGUAUAAAAGGCGCAGAAGCUCUCGGUAGCUCACGCUUCGUCUCUCUGUGGCAUCUGUCGGGGUUUCCAGCGUGGUCGGGAAGUGGAAGGUCCCGCUGGUCGGUUUUUUUCGGCCCGCCAUCCUCUCCUCCCCCCCCCCGUUACCUUUCUUCCGCCGAUCACAUCGGCCCCUGGAAGGUCUUGAAAGCUCUUCCCUCCGUUUGGCCCCCGCCUCACACCAACCGACAAUGAUCAUCCGACUGGGCCGACUGACACCCGGAUACUUCCGUCUCCUCCAGAGGCAAGUCGCCGGGGAGGUGCAGACGCAGCCGCGGGACCGCGCCGUCAACCAGCUGGCCAUGAUGCUGGCCAUCAUGGGCCUGAGUUUGUCCUACUACAGCGCCAAGCAGAUGACGGAGGACGUCCGCGCGCAGCCCGCGCCCUGAGGACACUCGCCCAGCCCGCUCGCGGAGAAGACGGGCGAGCCGAUGGGGGUAGAAGGAGGCGGGAGAAGGGGGGGUGUGGACUGGUUUGGGUGGGCGAUCAUAACCAGCCGACUGGCACCUGGGUCUGACCACUAGUCUCUUACAAAGGUACAUGCCUGCAAGAUGCCGUCAAUACUGUCCUGAGCGACGAAAAAGGGGACGCUCAUUUUGCCAGUUCUUCAAAGAGCGUCAAAUAAAAGCACAGUAAUGCCUUUGUUUUAAGCGAUGGGCUGACUGCAGUUGAGAUGUACCUUGUAAUGAAGUGAUGGCCGGCUCACAACAAGGCGGAAGGGGGCUAAUAAGUUAGCACAACACACUUUCUUUUUUUUGUUCUUCAUUAGAGAACCGUACAGAUCCAGAGCUUAAUUCAAAAACCGUCAAUGUGUAGAAAUGCUUGUAAAAUGUUUCUGUGUGGUGUCAGGUUCAUUUGAGUAGAUGUGCAAUAGUGCAGAAACAUUUUCUUUGAGUGCUACAUUGGCUCCUCAAAGGGACUUUAAGCAACUCCUCUUUUUAUGUUUGAUUGUUUUUUUUGAUCUCACACUACCGUAAAUCAAAGUCCCGUUGAGAUGAAUGACUACCUGUUUUCUUAAAGCACACUGAUUGAGAAACCUUCCUGCGAUCUCAUUCUACAUGCAGACCUUUUAACUUUAACUGAACAUUGCAUGUUUGUGCAGACUUUUAAUCGAGCGACAAUCUUGUUUUUAAAUGAUGGAUGAAUGUAUUACUCUGUGAAAGAUUUAAUAAAGCUGUGAACAUCUUGAAUGCGA